rnacentral:rRNA from 1 species
GUGGGGAAUAUUGGACAAUGGGCGAAAGCCUGAUCCAGCAAUGCCGCGUGUGUGAAGAAGGCCUGCGGGUUGUAAAGCACUUUCAGUUGGGAAGAAAAGCGGAGGGCUAAUACCUUUCUGUCUUGACGUUACCAACAGAAGAAGCACCGGCUAACUCCGUGCCAGCAGCCGCGGUAAUACGGAGGGUGCGAGCGUUAAUCGGAAUUACUGGGCGUAAAGCGUGCGUAGGCGGUACGUUAAGUCGGUUGUGAAACCCCUGGGCUCAACCUGGGAACUGCAUCCGAUACUGGCGCACUGGAGUAUGGUAGAGGGGAGUGGAAUUCCGGGUGUAGCGGUGAAAUGCGUAGAUAUCCGGAGGAACACCAGUGGCGAAGGCGACUCCCUGGACCAAUACUGACGCUGAGGCACGAAAGCGUGGGUAGCAAACAGGAUUAGAUACCCUGGUAGUCC